UAAUGUAAAACAAAAAUGCUCAUUAAAUUCGAAUCAUUUUUAAGUUCUUGUUGAAAAGAGAUCAGCAAGCGUUAACACAGUAAAAAAAAAAAAGCCUAUUAAUAUCAAGAAGAGAUUUCAUAAUUAAUGUCACCAAAGGAAACAAAGUAGAAUGGGAGGAAAAUCACUUUGUCUUAUGUGACCAUUUAAAUGUUUGGGGCUGUCUCCAAGAACCACUCAAGAUCAUUUUGCAUAUUUGUGUAUGUUUGCACAGCAGCCCACGGAUGUAGCCUUCAUGUUGGGGUGGCUGAAAUAUCCAGUUAAAAGAAGGACCCUAAAAUGGAUAAUGAGACUCCAGGUUCUUGGUUCUCUUUAGUGUUCAGCACACAAACCAACCUGCUCAGAACCCAAGAUCGAGCAUUUUGGACUGUGGAGUCAGGUUCCAAUUCUCUGUUUUAGCUGUGCAACCUUGGCAAGCCAACCACACCUCUCUGAGCCUCAGUUCACCUACUCAAAGGUAGGUUGGUUAGUAGACCAGAGGGUUGGUCUGAGGAAUAAAGAUGAGAAAUCAUGAGACGGGAAGUCAUGGCUGAGGCAGAGCUGAAACUCACCUAUGUCUGGCAUCUGGGGGUCAGGCCACCCCACUCCUCCAGGUACGUAAGGACCUUCCUUUCCGUGGGCAUCUGAGGCUUUGGAGGUGUGUGUGUGUGUGCUAGGAGGAACAACGUGGACCAUGUUUGGAAUGAGGGUUCAGUUGUCUCUAGUCUUUUCUAGAAGUCAGGGUGUCUCAGAGGAGCAGAAAUAAAGAUUUUAGGAAAUGGAUGUUAGAAAGAGAACCCCCUGCCCCACACCCCAGAAGGAAGGACUCCAGGCCAACCCGCCACCUGCAGGUCGGUGCUGGGGAGGGUGCUGGUGGUUGACAGAGAAACUCAGCCCAGCUCAGCUACCCUUGAGCUAGGUGUGCACUGGGGAGAAGGGGGCUGUGUGGAUGCCGAGGUGAGCCUUGUUAAACGGUGUCACUCUGUGUCCCAACAGGCUGGUCCAGAGCGAAGCACAGCACAGAGUUUCUCCUCCUACUUUGCAAGUGGCAGUGACUUCGGCUAGUGAGGAUGUGGGUGAGGCGUCUGGUGUACAGCAAAGCGAGUCCCUGAGGUUUCUUCAAUGUCCAGUACUUCGCAUACAUACAAACAAACAAAAACUUGGCACAAAGACAGUGAAUAAAACUACUGCUGGAUGACCGCAUCACCCCCAUUUCACGUCCAUGUAAAUCUGUUCUUUCUGAAUGGGUGAAGAAGGCAAGACAAGAGUCACAGGUGUUGCCACACUGUAUCCAUCGUCUGUGACAGCCGAGGACCUGUGCUGCUCAGACGUCCCUGCAAGAAGGACAGCCUGACCCUCACGCCUUCGGCAUCCACUGCCACGGAGCUUCCCCCGGCUGUGGCCAGGAAGUGACUGAGCACAGAGGGUGCUGGGCUAUUCCUGCCCAACGCAGGACCGCCCCCCACCCCAGGGGGCAGGCUCUGCUCUGGGAUCCCCACUGGCUCAGCAUCACCUUCAGUCUGGCUCCUUCCCUCUCUCCCUUCACAGGUGUCAGACCCUCACUCUGGUCUGCAGCCUCUCUCCACCUAUUCCUGCCCCCUCCCCUUUAUCCGCUACUGCUGUUUUCCUGCAACAAACCUGCACAUCAGUUCUGUCAUCUUGGAGGACCCUGAUUACUUAUUAUCAGUACCAUUGUAAUUACAUAACAUUUCCUUUUAAUUGAA